rnacentral:rRNA from 1 species
UACGUAGGGUGCAAGCGUUAAUCGGAAUUACUGGGCGUAAAGCGUGCGCAGGCGGUUAUGUAAGACAGUUGUGAAAUCCCCGGGCUCAACCUGGGAAUUGCAUCUGUGACUGCAUAGCUAGAGUACGGUAGAGGGGGAUGGAAAUUCCGCGUGUAGCAGUGAAAUGCGUAGAUAUGCGGAGGAACACCGAUGGCGAAGGGCAAUCCCCUGGGCCUGCACUGGACGCUCAUGCACGAAAGCGUGGGGAGCAAACAGG